UUUAUGUAGCUAGAAAAAUUCUUGCCUGAGAAGUUCGUUAUUCAAAUAUUUUAGAGGAGCUCUAUAAUUUUGGGAUAAAAGACAGAGAUAACACAAGAAAUAAUAAAGCCCCCUAUUGUGGAGGAGGGUCGAUGGUGGACACUUUUAACCAUGCAAUUACAUCCUCAGAUCAGAUGCAUGGUUCGUGAUUCCUCCUCAUCAGCAUCUCGUCCUCUCCAGUUCUUGGGGAAUUCAGCUUUCUUGCCCACUUUGUGGUUAAUAGUGACUACCAUCAUACGCAUGGAUGCUUCUCUUUCCUGCAGCUUGACGGUGUAUUCUUUACAAUGGUUAAAGCUUUGCUGUAGCUUUUCCAGCCACUGGUGGGAGUCCAACUCACCCAACUAACAGGUGUCCUUGGUGUUCGAGGAACAAGGCGUCAAGUCUCUUGGCCUAUAAAUUACCCUAACUUGAACCAGCGGUGCAUCAUUCUAGCAACUCCCAGUCUCCCAUCACACAGCACUAUGCCCGUCGCAAUACCACCGACAAUACUACCCCCCCCCACAGUUCCUCCCUCCUUCCACACGGUAAAAAGCAGGGAGGAACUGAAGGAAUGGCUGAAGCAGUUCGACAUCGACAAGGAUGGACGCAUAAGCCGCCAAGAGCUGCGACAGGCCAUCCAUGCCGCAAGCAUCUAUAAACACAAUAAAUGGCUGCGCAACUAUCUUGCUGGCAGACGUGGAGUCCGGAAUGCUGACAUCAAUCGAAAUGGUUUCGUCGACGAGGACGAGAUGGACAACCUUGUGGAUUUUGUGGCCGAGAUUGCGGGGCUACGUUUUAUUCCGGGCAAGUAGCACCAAUUAUAUAUAUAGUGGUAGUAUAGUAAUAAUCUUGACGUUGGUGUCUAUGCCAAGGAAGCUUCGAAUGACUUCGAACUCUGUAUGCAUUUCCUUUUAUCUAUAGCAUGACAUCUUUAACUCU